AAUGUUACCGUGAUCGCUUUUUAAAUGCAUAAAAAAACGUCACCCAGAGCUCAAUUAAGCCUCCUCGUUCAACUUAUAUACCACCACAUCUGUCAAAUACGAUUUCUUUCCCUUGUUCGAUACCAAACAAAAUAAUUAAUUAUCAUUAGCUUUUUAAAUAAUUGUUGUUUAUUUAAAUUGAUUCUUGUUUUGUCAGAUACAAGAAAUAAUUGUGCAAAAUUUCCAGAUACAACAUGGGCGUAGCCAAUUGGGGGGGGGGGUAUAGAGUCAGGUCUUUAUCCGGUCCUUCUUGAAGGCUAUAUAAUUAGCUUUUAGCAUUAAUUAGAUCUAUACGAAUAUUAGCAUAUGAAUAUAGCCUAUUGGCAUACCAUUGACCAUAGAUAGGCUAUAAUAUCUAUAGGCCUACCUAUUCGAUUGCAAAACAUAUACAAAAUAACAAUAAUAAUUAUAAAGAUAUGACCCAAGAGAUUUCAGUAGCCUACACCAGGAACUUUUAUUAGUUUUUGUGUGAUGACAACGCCAUGGAAUACCAAAGGCAGUCUGGUUCAUUGCUCUCCUCAUUAUGUAGUCGAUGGCUUGGAGGAAUUAGAGGAAGAGAGAUAAGAUGCACCCGAUCUCACACCUGUCUCGAUGCUGAAAAACUCGGUUGUUCCUUCUUCUGUUUUAAUGCAGCAACUAGAUUGACUGUAUAUGUGUCGUAGGAUCUGGACGAAUUUUUCUGGGAUGCCAUAUUCUAGAGCUCUAACCGUUUUCCAUAGUGAUUCUCGGUGGACACUAUUAAACGCUUUCUUAAAGUCUACGAAACUGAUCGUUAGCCGUUGUUGGUACUCGAGACUUUGUUCUAUGAUAUUUCGUAGAACGAAGAUCUGCUCUGCACUUGAUCUGCCUCUUCGGAAGCCUAGGCUGCUUGUUCUUCUCUGAGCCUCUCAUCUACAGACUGUUGGAACGGUAUAAACAAAACAGUGCUGAAAACUUUGCCCGGGACAGAGAGGAUAGUAAUGCCCCUCCAGUUGUUGCAGUCUGUCAAGUUGCCCUUUCUUGGAAGCUUUACAAUCACUCCUUUCUGCCAGUCAGGAACUUUAGAAGUUCGCCAACAGAGAUUUAAGAGAUAUGUCAUUCUGUUAACAAUGCACUGCCCCCCCCCCCCCAUGUUUUAGCAUUUCUGCUGACACCAUGUCUAGCCCUGGUGCUUUGUUGUUCUUUAGCACUGCAAUGGCCAUGGUAACCUCCUCUGCAGUUAUUGGGUCUGUCUUGACCUUGAGAUCAUUGUCCGAAGAGGGGUCCUUGAAUGUGUAAGUCAGGUCUGGAGACGGUUAGUUAAGGAUCUCUUUAAAGUGCUCUACCCAUCUUGCAUCCUGUUCUUCUUUCGUUAGCGAAGUUUUGCCUUGUCUUUUAUCGGUGCUCAAUGUCAUAUCUUUGCUCCAUUGAGAUAUCGGACAAUACGAUGGAGAGUCUUUGUGUCAUUUCUGCAUGCAGCUGCUUGUGCCUAUUGACCCUUCUGUUCAAUCCAGUCCCGUUUAUCUCGCCGACAGCUUCAAGAUCUGCUUCCCCAUAAUCUUCUUCCGCUAGGCUGCGAUCCUGGGUUUUUAUUUUUCUAGUGUCGUCUACGUUUGGCAUCUUUCCUCUCAUCGGUCUAUUCCAUGGUAUUCCAUGGCGUGAACAAAACCGAAUGAUGGACUUGACUUUGCCGAUGACGUUGCACUACUCGGGGAUACAAAUAAAUGCAUACAAGAAAUGACGGAGAGCCUAGUGUCGCAGUUAUCUAUGUAGUUGUACAGUGGAAUUAUUUCACUAUUAAUAGCACUGCUUGCGUCUAUUUUGAUGACGUCAUUUUGCAGGAUAAAAUGGUUACAUUUCAAUAGCGCCGCUUUCAUCACUAGUUAAUGACGUCAUCUGAGUUAAUUUCUAGUUUCUUGUGUAGGCUAGGGGAAUGAUCUCCCCUUGUUGCUUCGUCAUUAUUUCUUGUGACGUAGAGUGAGUGCGUGUUAUGACUUUCGACAUAAAUCGUCUGUUUUAUUCUCUCCAUCUUGUGUAGAAGAGACAAGUCGCAUUUGGAAUUUCUCCUUGGAUCUGAUAUUUAAUAGUCUUAUCGUUGUUCCUUGGAUAUAUUCUUAUUGGAUUAUCCUGACCCCUGUUUAGGGGUCUCAGUGCCAAGUCUCAGUGUUAGACUCAGUGUCAAGUCUCAGUUUUCAAUAUUGAGAAGGCACGACAUGGCCUAAACUGUGCCGAUGUGCCUAAAAUCAAAAUCAAAUCAAUAUUGAGAUUUCAGCUUAGUCUACAGGACUGAGGUCUUCAUCUUUUUGUUUUGUUUUCACGGGUCUGAGGUUCCAGACUGCGGGUUGUUGUGUCCAGACCUGGUGAUACAGUGUGAACUAUGAACUUUUGAUUAGUGGUCGUCGGUGAACAGUAUCUGGGCUAGAUCUACGUGUAUUACCAGUUAUUGUCUUGAAAGUUUAUGUGGACAAUUGUACUGAAUAUUAUAGCUAAGGUAAUUAUAUUAUUUGUAUUAUAAUUACUAAGUGAACUGGAUUAUAAUAUACUACAUCAUAUUAUAUAUCUACUGUUAUUCAUAUCAUUAUUAUUAUUCAUAUAUCAGUUCAUUGUAAAUAUAUCAUUAGAUUAAAUUCAUAAUUUUAUUUAAAUCAU